UUAGAAUGGAGAACAGGACUGAAAGAGAACCACGACGUGGAGGAAGAACAUGCACUUUCACAGCCGAACAGGAGACUGACAUUGUGAAAAUGGAAUGCCAUGCGGAUGAAACAAGUGUACAUGGUCCUAUUUGACCGGAACACAGACCACAUCAAGGAGUUACGGCAAGAGUUU